GAUGAACGCUGACAGAAUGCUUAACACAUGCGAGUCGAUGGGGAAGUGGUGCUUGCCCCAUGGCAACCAUGGCGGACGGGUGAGUAACGCGUAAGGGACUUACCUGCAGGACUGGGAUAACAGGGGGAAACUCCUGACAAGACCGGAUAAUGUCAUGGAGCUGCAUGGCUUUAUGAUGAAAGGAGACGCCUGCGGAGAGCCUUGCGUCCUAUUAGCUAGUUGGUGAGGUAAUGGCUCACCAAGGCGAAGAUAGGUAGCCGGCAUGAGAGGGUGGACGGCCACAAGGGGACUGAGAGACGGCCCUGACUCCUACGGGAGGCAGCAGUGGGGAAUAUUGGACAAUGGGGGCAACCCUGAUCCAGCAAUUCUGUGUGCACGAAGAAGGUUUUCGGAUUGUAAAGUGCUUUCAGCAGGGAAGAAGUAAGUGACGGUACCUGCAGAAGAAGCGACGGCUAAAUACGUG
rnacentral:rRNA from 1 species